GUCCAGGUCUGGUUUUGGUUAGCAGUG
rnacentral:piRNA from 1 species